rnacentral:misc_RNA from 1 species
GAUGAAGAACGUAGCGAAAUGCGAUAAGUAGUGUGAAUUGCAGAAUUCCGUGAAUCAUCGAAUCUUUGAACGCACAUUGCGCCUUCUGGUAUUCCGGAAGGCAUGCCUGUUCGAGAGUCAUUAACAACCGUUUCGAUCCCUUUCUUUCAGAAAUUACAAAGAGGAAAAGGGUUUGGUUAUGGUGGAGGAGGGAAAGGGAGCGUUUAGCCUGUAAAAAAAGAGGCUGUGUUCCGCCUCCCCCCCAAAAUUGUGCGGGCGGUCGUGUGCGCCCACGCAUCGAGGUGUUGUAAAAGCUGCCACGGCACUUUUCACCUGUGCAGUGCGAGAUUGGCCAGCCGGUUUAAAAACCCCUCCAAACAAUCAAAGGUUGACCUCGGAUCAGGUAGGGAUACCCGCUGAACUUAAGCAUAUCAAUAAGCGGAGGA